rnacentral:tRNA from 1 species
CGUAGCUCAGUGGUAGAGCAUGCGCUUAGCAUGCACAAGGUCCUGGGUUCAAUCCCCCCAGUG